AUUGAACGCUGGCGGCAUGCUUUACACAUGCAAGUCGAACGGCAGCACGGACUUCGGUCCGGUGGCGAGUGGCGAACGGGUGAGUAAUACAUCGGAACGUGCCCAGUUGUGGGGGAUAACUACUCGAAAGAGUAGCUAAUGCCGCAUGAGAACUGAGGUUGAAAGCAGGGGAUCGUAAGACCUUGCGCAACUGGAGCGGCCGAUGGCAGAUUAGGUAGUUGGUGGGAUAAAAGCUUACCAAGCCGACGAUCUGUAGCUGGUCUGAGAGGACGACCAGCCACACUGGGACUGAGACACGGCCCAGACUCCUACGGGAGGCAGCAGUGGGGAAUUUUGGACAAUGGGCGAAAGCCUGAUCCAGCAAUGCCGCGUGCAGGAUGAAGGCCUUCGGGUUGUAAACUGCUUUUGUACGGAACGAAAAGCUUCGGGUUAAUACCCUGGAGUCAUGACGGUACCGUAAGAAUAAGCACCGGCUAACUACGUGCCAGCCGCCGCCGUAA
rnacentral:rRNA from 1 species